rnacentral:rRNA from 1 species
UACGUAGGAGGCAAGCGUUGUCCGGAAUUACUGGGCGUAAAGCGCGUGUAGGUGGUGGGACAAGUCUGCUGUGAAAGCGCCUGGCUUAACCGGGGCGAGGUCGGCGGAAACUGCCUCACUUGAGGACGGUAGAGGGGGGGUGGAAUUCCCGGUGUAGUGGUGAAAUGCGUAGAUAUCUGGAGGAACACCGGUGGCGAAGGCGGCAUCCUGGGACCGGUAUUGACGCUGAGGCGCGAAAGCCAGGGGAGCAAACAGG